GAACCGGACAAACGUUUAUUUCGGAAUUAUUGGGCUUAAAGGGUGCGUAGGCGGCGUGGCAAGUUGGAUGUGAAAUCCCUCGGCUCAACCGAGGAACUGCGUCCAAAACUGCCAUGCUCGAGGGAGACAGAGGUGAGCGGAACUUGCGGUGGAGCGGUGAAAUGCGUUGAUAUCGCAAGGAACACCCGUGGCGAAGGCGGCUCACUGGGUCUCUUCUGACGCUGAGGCACGAAAGCUAGGGGAGCGAACGGGGAUUAGAUACCCCGGUAGUCCUAGCUGUAAACGAUGAGCACUUGGUCGGAGGAUUUUCACUGAUUUUCCGGCCCGGAGCGAAAGCGUUAAGUGCUCCGCCUGGGGGAGUAUGGUCGCAAGGCUG
rnacentral:rRNA from 1 species